UACGUAGGGUGCGAGCGUUGUCCGGAAUUAUUGGGCGUAAAGAGCUCGUAGGCGGUCUGUCGCGUCGAUCGUGAAAACUUGGGGCUUAACCCUGAGCUUGCGGUCGAUACGGGCAUGACUGGAGUUCGGCAGGGGAGACUGGAAUUCCUGGUGUACGCGGUGAAAUGCGCAGAUAUCAGGAGGAACACCGGUGGCGAAGGCGGGUCUCUGGGCAGUAACUGACGCUGAGGAGCGAAAGCGUGGGUAGCAAACAGG
rnacentral:rRNA from 1 species